rnacentral:rRNA from 1 species
CGCAUCUGUGCAUGCAGCAUAUCAAUAAGCGGAGGAAAAGAAACUAACAAGGAUUCCCUUAGUAACGGCGAGUGAAGCGGGAAGAGCUCAAAUUUGAAAUCUUAAAGGGUUUCCCUUUACGAAUUGUAGUUUAAAGAAGUGUUUUCUGUUGAGGUUUUGGUAAAAGUUCUUUGGAAUAGGACAUCAUAGAGGGUGAGAAUCCCGUAUUUGACCUUUACUUUCAACUUUGUGAUACACUUUCAAAGAGUCGGAUUGUUUGGGAAUGCAGUCCAAAAUGGGUGGUAAAUUUCAUCUAAAGCUAAAUAUUGGCGAGAGACCGAUAGCGAACAAGUACCGUGAGGGAAAGAUGAAAAGAACUUUGAAAAGAGAGUUAAACAGUACGUGAAAUUGUCAAAAGGGAAGCGUUUGACACCAGUGUUGUUUUUCUGAAAAUCAAUUAAAGAACUGUUUAUGCUAAGUUGCUUAGACUUUAUCAGCUAACUGUUUAGUUUUGAGCUUUUCUUUAAUGCACUUUUCAGGUUAACAAGUCAACAUCAAUUUCUUUUGGUUGUAAAAGGGUAUGAGGAAGGUGGCUUUCUUUUCGGAGAAAGUGUUUAUAGCCUUGUGCCUCUGCAAUCGGAGAGAUUGAGGUCUGCAGCGUAGAUCCUUCGGGGUUAGAUACAUUUGUGCUAAGUUAUAGCUUUUCAUAGACAACUUGUUGACUAUGUUUAGUCUUGUAGCUUACUCGCUUAUGCUAUUUUACCUACGCUUAGGAUGUUGAAGAUAUGCGCGACACG